CUGGCUCAGGAUGAACGCUGGCGGCGUGCCUAACACAUGCAAGUCGAGCGGGAAGCCGGAACAUGUAGAGAUAUAUGAGAAAGCAUCCUAGCGGCGGACGGGUGAGUAACACGUGAGGAACCUGCCUUACACAGGGGAAUAACACCGUGAAAACGGUGCUAAUACCGCAUAACACCGCACUAUGGCAUCAUAGAGCGGUCAAAGGAGAAAUCCGGUGUAAGAUGGCCUCGCGCCCGAUUAGUUAGUUGAUGGGGUAAUGGCCUACCAAGACUGCGAUCGGUAGCCGGACUGAGAGGUCGAACGGCCACAUUGGAACUGAGAGACGGUCCAGACUCCUACGGGAGGCAGCAGUGGGGAAUAUUGGGCAAUGGGGGGAAACCCUGACCCAGCAACGCCGCGUGAAGGAAGAAGGCCUUCGGGUUGUAAACUUCUUUGAUCAGGGAAGAAACAAAUGACGGUACCUGAAAAACAAGCCACGGCUAACUACGUGCCAGCCGCCGC
rnacentral:rRNA from 1 species